GUGGCGCGCGGGCUGGGCGCGGGGCCGUCGCGCGCCUCGGUUCCCUUCAGUUCCCCUCAGCGCCCCCCUCGGUUUCCUCAGCUCUCGCCCCCGCUCCCCUCGGCCCCCUCGGUCCCCUCGCCGCCUUCCUCCCGCUUCCCUGAUGGCGCUUCCCCCUUCUUGUAAAGCUCCAGCGCUGGGAGUCCCGUCGUUUCCCCCUGUGGUGGUUGGGGAGGGGAGAGGAGGGUGUGUGGCACAUCCCUGGUGUCGGGGGUUGCUGGAGUUCGGGCUCCGCCAGGCCCAGGAGACGGGUAAAGCCUUCUGGCCGUAUUUUAGCAAAAGCAGCUAGCUCAGGAAGGAGAGGUCUCAAGCACCCGGAGAGAGGGCAGCCACCUGCCGCCCUGGGGAUCCGGAGCAGUGGCCCGGGAGGUUGUGGUUCACUCAGCUGAAGUGAGGUCUUCGAUGAUUUUAGGCUUUUGGGAAUGAAAGAAAAAACGUCGUGGAGACUAGAGCAUAGCUGCCUCAUUACUUUUGGUGUGGCCCAAGGUGAGAAACCAAAGGUGGGUCAGGGAGGUGGGUGGACAAGCACACAGAGCUCACUGCCGAACUACUGAAAUCGGUUUGAAGAGAGUGUGCACUGAGGAAGAUGGGGGACCACUCUUUGAACAGUGAGGAUAACAAAAAUAUUGAAUACCUGCCCUGCUCCUUUGUUGAGUACCAUCUGCCCAGGACGCUGUCUGAAGAACUAGAAGAUUUGUGACUUCAAGUUGGAAAGAGGAGAGACUGGUAAGAAACGAAAAGGACAGCUUCAUCUCUGAGCUACAACUCUCCCUGGCUCCUGCACAUGCAAACAUUUGAAUUUCCUGUUGGCUCAGAGUGUUUGCAUUGCAAGUGACAUCUGGCUGACAGGAUCUUGGAGAAAUGGGAUACGAAGUGAAUGCUGCAGUUACCACAGCAUCAUAUUUAUCAAAAGGCUUAAGCUACAGAGACAGAUGCAGAACUGAACCCUCAGCAUUCGGGUGUGAAAUCAAAGUGGAAGUCCCAACAACCAGAGAGGUUCUUCGGCUGCCCUGGAGCUCUGUGAGGGCUGAAGGUAGAAGGGCCCCUGACUCCGCUUCCCAAAUUGAAGAGGAAAAAUCUUGGCAGAGGGAGGACCUCCAUCCUGUCCUGUGUUGAUACCUGAUGUAUUACUUCAGCAGCAAAUUCAACGAGGCCAAGAUGUCUUCAUUUUCCUUCAGAGCAAGAGCUGCAAGAGCAGUGUGAUGGAAGUAUUGGUCUUCUGUGGCCAGCCGGCGAGAACCCAUCAACAGCUGUGAUGAGCAGAGCAGACAUGGGGAGACAGGAGGCGGCUGAAGCCAAAGAGGACCCACGCCUGGAGCUGUGUGUGUGUGAUUGGAGCAGAGAGAGGCCAGGACCCAAGGAAAUCCCAGCAGCAAGGGAAAAAAACAGAUUGACUCUCAGUGACUCAUUUAGCUCCUGGAUUGGACAGAUCUCUCCCCUGCUGGCAAUUUGGCUGAGCAUCAAUGGACAGAUACCAGGAUGAAUAGCUUAAAAUAAUUAGGGUUUGGGAAUCUGCAAAACUGCUAGCCAUCCAAUUCUUUACUGUGCAAUGCGAGGCACAAAAAAGAAAUUACAUUUAGGUUAUUAAAUACUAAGUCAGUGGAUUUACCUCCAUUUGGUCCAGAACAGGAAACUGGCUAAAUUUCAACAUUUAUAUCACUGUGUUGAUGGUCUGUUUAUCACUGAAAAAGUGAGUGCCUUUUGGCAGGUCAAGCUCUUUGACACAUGGGGCGAAUGUGUGCUUAAUUUCUCCAAAACAGAAGAAUUAAUAUAAUAAUAAUUAACACAGAUGAGAACAGAAUUAAAAUCAAGUACAGUCAAGAGUUCAGUUUGAUGCCAGGUGUCUCACGUUGUAAAUGUUCUGAGGCCAGAUUUUUUCCUGUUGAAGCUAGUGAGGAUUUUGCCAUUGGCGCUGAUGGGAGCUGGAGUGGGCCUUGAACAUGGAGAGACAGGAUUCCCUGUACUUUCUAUUUAAUGCUCAAAACCAGAAGCAACAGGCUCAUUUAGUAUCAGUAAAGGUCAGUUAAAAUUAUAGAGACAUCCUUUGGAGCAAAUCCUCUGCCUUGUAUUUGCAUAUUUAUGAACUACAGAUUACGACAGGCUAUUCCAUUUAUUAGAGCAGCGUUGCUAUAGUUAAUAGUCUGUCAGUAUUUCCAUUAUAAACCCCGUUUUUCAGUGUUUUAGUAUCUCAGCCACUUAAAAUCACAUCAGGAAGCAAGUUGGUCUUGUGUUGUCGGCCAGGUGCAAUAUUUUGUUUUGAGUUAUUUUCAAUAAUGAAAUACUAUUCAUCAUAUAUGCACAUGAGCCAUAGCAUUUCUGUUAGGGGGGAAAUAGCAAAGUGCAUAAGUUCAUUGCAGCUUUGUUGUUCUUUAGGAAAGAAGGAAAAAGAGGGAUUUGACCAAUCAUGUCAACUGGGGCUUCACGUGUGAAGAACAGUUUCUCAAGCAACUGCUCUCAGAGGAAACACUGGUUCUCAAUGUGAAAUCAGGUUGCUGCCUGCUUGCCAGUAGUGACUCAGGUAUACAGGUGAGGAUGGCUCCCCUGUCCCUCAGAAAUUUCUUCUCUGCCAGAGUCAUGAGUGAAGCACACCAGGUAAGAAAGCAGCGAACAUUAAAGAAGAGCCUUUAGAAGUAACAGAAGCCCUGGUUACAAAUUCAAAAAGCUGGCCUUUUCUUUAGCGUCUUCCAGAUGCAGAGAAGUGCA